rnacentral:rRNA from 1 species
AGUGAACGCUGGCGGUAGGCCUAACACAUGCAAGUCGAACGGCGGCACAGUAAGAGCUUGCUCUUACGGGUGGCGAGUGGCGGACGGGUGAGGAAUACAUCGGAAUCUACUUUUUCGUGGGGGAUAACGUAGGGAAACUUACGCUAAUACCGCAUACGACCUACGGGUGAAAGCAGGGGAUCUUCGGACCUUGCGCGAUUGAAUGAGCCGAUGUCGGAUUAGCUAGUUGGCGGGGUAAAGGCCCACCAAGGCGACGAUCCGUAGCUGGUCUGAGAGGAUGAUCAGCCACACUGGAACUGAGACACGGUCCAGACUCCUACGGGAGGCAGCAGUGGGGAAUAUUGGACAAUGCGCGCAAGCCUGAUCCAGCCAUACCGCGUGGGUGAAGAAGGCCUUCGGGUUGUAAAGCCCUUUUGUUGGGAAAGAAAAGCAGCAGGUUAAUACCCCGCUGUUCUGACGGUACCCAAAGAAUAAGCACCGGCUAACUUCGUG